rnacentral:lncRNA from 1 species
AAAAGGAAUGUCGAAGCUUCUAUAAAUUAAGUAACAAUCAAGCAAGAAUACCAAAGUAAGCAAAACACACAAAAAAGAGCAAAACAAAACGAAAAAGAAAAAAAGAUUACCGCAAUGUGAUGUUUAGCAAAGGAAUUCGGAAGAAAAAUGUUGUUAGGGGCCUCGAAGUUAAGUUAUCAAUUGAUGAAAAUUGAGAAAAAAACACGAGAAGGAAGAAAGAAGAGAGAAAAAUCAAGAAAAUGCGCGAAAAAAAUGAAACCGGGUAUUUUAAAAAGUGACCUGUCGCUCGAGCGAGGAUCUAGCGAGACUCGGGCGACAAGCAAACUGUUUUUAUCGCUCGAGCGAAGACCAGGCGAAACCCGAGCGAAACACCAAAUGUCAAAAAUAGCACUAAAAAUUUGAAUUUUGAGAAAAAUAACAUAAUCUUAAAGAAAUGACGAAAUUAGCC